rnacentral:misc_RNA from 1 species
GUGAAUCAUCGAAUUUUUGAACGCAAAUUGCACUCUCUGCGGAGAGGAGGCCUGUUUGAGGGUCAGGCUAAAAAAAAUCGACAUAGUUGCUGUUACGUGGUAACAUUCGGGGGAAAGUGGGGGAUCUGAAACGUUUGGGUUUAGGCGGCUUAAAAUAUUCUGGACGAUUACAAGAACGUUUGUAAGAACUUAUUUGCUUAUACGUUUAAGGUAGCGAUCGUUA